GUGAAGAAGUACUACAGGAGUACCAAACAACAGAAACCCUAACAGAUGCUGCAAGAAGAAAAAUGGUUAACAUCCUGGUGGCUCACAUGAUUGACAAUCAUGGGCACCGCCCCACUAAAGCAAUCAGAGAAGAUUAUGCACGUGGGAUAGUGAUGUUGUUCCCUUCCCUCAAGGAUCCAUACUCCAAGAAGGGCUAUGAACACUUCUAUGAUGCUGCAAGCAGCACAGGAUACAUUUCUUGGCGUCUGAAAACAGUCCAGAGGAAGAUGUCACGAUUCUCUAAAGCGGAACCCAGAAGCAGACCAGGACAAGGUGAGUUGAAUGAAGGUGAGUAUUUAUUUAAAGACUUAAAUGUGGAAGCAGGAGAAUCCAGGUGACGGAGCUGGAAGUGGAGGUGAGU